GCCGAGGUGGUGAAAUUGGUAGACACGCCAGUCUUAGGAACUGGUGGGGAAACCCAUGGAGGUUCGAGUCCUCUCCCCGGCACCA
rnacentral:tRNA from 1 species